rnacentral:rRNA from 1 species
CAAUAGCGUAUAUUAAAGUUGUUGCAGUUAAAAAGCUCGUAGUUGAAAUGGUGAUCUCAGUGCGUGGGCGACGAAAGUCUGUUCGUGUUCUGAGUUCAUUUUCCCUGAUUUAUUUAGGGACUUUUACUUUGAGGAAAUCUUAGUGCUCAAAGCAGGCGUUGCCUUGAUUGUUGCAGCAUGGUAUAAUCAUAUAAGAUCAGAAUUUCGCCGACUGGCUAGGGAAUUCUGAUAAUGGUUAAUAGGAACAGUUGGGGGCAUUCGUAUUCAACAGUCAGAGGUGAAAUUCUUAGAUUUGUUGAAGACGAACUAGUGCGAAAGCAUUUGCCAAGGAUGUUUNCAUUAA